AAGUCUAAGCCUCAGCCUAAGCCUAAGCCUAAACCUGAACCUAGGCCUUAGCCUAAGCCUAAGCCUAAGCA
ensembl:ncRNA K10G6.7 ncRNA